rnacentral:rRNA from 2 species
GAAUGUAUAUACUAAACUAAUGCACCGGAUUCCAUAAGAACUCUGCAGUUAAGCGUGAUUGGACGAGAGUAAUACUAAAAUGAGUGACUUUCCGGAAAGUCUUUGUGUUGCACCCC